GCCAAGUUAGCCAAGGGUGCGUCCUCCAAGGCUCUUAACCUUGUGGUCGUGGGUUCGAGCCCCACAGUGGGCG
rnacentral:tRNA from 1 species